CUAGGUGUAGGCGGUAUUCCACGCCGUCUGUGCCGCAGCUAACGCAUUAAGCACCCCGCCUGGGGAGUACGGCCGCAAGGCUAAAACUCAAAGGAAUUGACGGGGGCCCGCACAAGCAGCGGAGCAUGUGGCUUAAUUCGACGCAACGCGAAGAACCUUACCAAGGCUUGACAUACACCGAAAACUCGUAGAGAUACGGGGUCCGCAAGGGCGGUGUACAGGUGGUGCAUGGUUGUCGUCAGCUCGUGUCGUGAGAUGUUGGGUUAAGUCCCGCAACGAGCGCAACCCUCGUUCUAUGUUGCCAGCACGUCAUGGUGGGGACUCAUAGGAGACUGCCGGGGUCAACUCGGAGGAAGGUGGGGACGACGUCAAAUCAUCAUGCCCCUUAUGUCUUGGGCUGCACACAUGCUACAAUGGCCGGUACAAAGGGCUGCUAAACCGCGAGGUGGAGCGAAUCCCAAAAAGCCGGUCUCAGUUCGGAUUGGGGUCUGCAACUCGACCCCAUGAAGUCGGAGUUGCUAGUAAUCGCAGAUCAGCAACGCUGCGGUGAAUACGUUCCCGGGCCUUGUACACACCGCCCGUCACGUCACGAAAGUCGGUAACACCCGAAGCCAGUGGCCCGACUCGCAAGAGAGGGAGCUGUCGAAGGUGGGGCUG
rnacentral:rRNA from 1 species